AACUGGUAACCUAGAGUAUGGGAGAGGUAGAUGGAAUUUCUGGUGUAGGGGUAAAAUCCGUAGAGAUCAGAAGGAAUACCGAUUGCGAAGGCGAUCUACUGGAACAUUACUGACGCUGAGACGCGAAAGCGUGGGGAGCAAACAGGAUUAGAUACCCUGGUAGUCCACGCCCUAAACGAUGUACACUAGUUGUUGCCAUGCUAGACAUGGCAGUAAUGCAGUUAACACAUUAAGUGUACCGCCUGGGGAGUACGGUCGCAAGAUUAAAACUCAAAGGAAUAGACGGGGACCCGCACAAGCGGUGGAGCAUGUGGUUUAAUUCGACGAUACGCGAAGAACCUUACCUGGACUUGACAUUUACAGAACUUUCAAGAGAUUGAUUGGUGUCUGCUUGCAGAAACUGUAGGACAGGUGCUGCACGGCUGUCGUCAGCUCGUGUCGUGAGAUGUUGGGUUAAGUCCCGCAACGAGCGCAACCCACGUCGUUAGUUGCUAACAGUUCGGCUGAGAACUCUAACGAGACUGCCUGGGCAACCAGGAGGAAGGUGUGGACGACGUCAAGUCAUCAUGGCCCUUACGUCCAGGGCUACACACGUGCUACAAUGGGGUAUACAAAGAGCCGCAAUACCGCGAGGUGGAGCAAAUCUCAAAAAUAUCUCCCAGUUCGGAUUGUACUCUGCAACUCGAGUGCAUGAAGUUGGAAUCGCUAGUAAUCGUAGAUCAGCAAUGCUACGGUGAAUACGUUCCCGGGUCUUGUACUCACCGCCCGUCACACCAUGGGAGUUGAACUCAUUCGAAGCGGGGAUGCUAAGAUAGCUACCCUCCACAGUGGAUUCAGCGACUGGGGUGAAGUCGUAACAAGGUACCA
rnacentral:rRNA from 1 species